CUAUACAUGCAGUCGAGCGGACAGAAGGGAGCUUGCUCCCGGAUGUUAGCGGCGGACGGGUGAGUAACACGUGGGUAACCUGCCUGUAAGACUGGGAUAACUCCGGGAAACCGGAGCUAAUACCGGAUAGUUCCUUGAACCGCAUGGUUCAAGGAUGAAAGACGGUUUCGGCUGUCACUUACAGAUGGACCCGCGGCGCAUUAGCUAGUUGGUGAGGUAACGGCUCACCAAGGCGACGAUGCGUAGCCGACCUGAGAGGGUGAUCGGCCACACUGGGACUGAGACACGGCCCAGACUCCUACGGGAGGCAGCAGUAGGGAAUCUUCCGCAAUGGACGAAAGUCUGACGGAGCAACGCCGCGUGAGUGAUGAAGGUUUUCGGAUCGUAAAGCUCUGUUGUUAGGGAAGAACAAGUGCAAGAGUAACUGCUUGCACCUUGACGGUACCUAACCAGAAAGCCACGGCUAACUACGUGCCAGCAGCGGCCGGUAAUAA
rnacentral:rRNA from 1 species